rnacentral:misc_RNA from 1 species
GGGGGGAGUGCAGCUGAUGAUGUGGCAGGUGCAUUGACUUGCCAUAUCUCUGGUGAUUUUGAAAGUGGAUUGUCAGCAACUGUGGAUUUUACUGAAAGUAACCAUGGGAUGUCCACCGGAAUAUCUGCAGCCUCUAAUGGUGAUGCAACUAAGGUGUCUGGACUUACCCUUGCUUAGUAGGGCCAGCUUAUAUCCAUUGGCAUAGAGAAUCAGAGGCAGGUGCAUGCCGAAUAUAGGACUUAAUAGGCUAGAUGGGGGGUUUAAUUGCUUGGUGUUGUUUUAUAAUUGGGAAAGUAGCGCACUAGAGGGGUAGAAACAAUUGACAUUAUAUUUAUAUAAUAUAUGGACAUUCUGAGAAUUUGACGUCCGCUGGUUGAUUAGGACGUCUUAGAAUUUUUGUUUAGGGGUUAGUGUCUAUUACAGUAUGAGGUGCUGUUUCCAAUGUUCUAGUGGUGUUGGUUUGCAUUUUUAUGGGUCUCCCCUAUACGGGAGAAAGUAUUUACUAUGAGAAUGUUUGCAUUGAACUAAUGAGAUUGGCUUCUUUGCAAGCACUGUUGCAAUUUAAUUUUGCCGAAAUUAUUAAUAUUUUCUCCUCU